ensembl:lncRNA
AUGGGUGCAUUGUGUGCAAUCGCUGUAAUAUUUUAUUUUUAUAAGGUCUUAAACCGCGCUGUCAAAAGAGCUGAUGCAAAUCGUUCAUUUUCAAACUUCAAGAGCUCAAAAACACCCUCUUUUAGCUCUUGGUUUGUUCUAAUGGGUGGAUUGUGUGCAAUCGCUGUAAUAUUUUAUUUUUAAAGGUCUUAAACAAGAAUAAAUUUGCUUCUUGUGAGCUCGUAGUGCGAGUGCAGGAGAAGCGCGCGGGGCUCGCGCUGUCAAAAGAGCUGACGCAAAUCGUUCAUUUUCAAACUUCAACAGCUGAAAAACACCCUCUUUUACCUCUUGGUUUGUUCUAAUGGGUGGAUUGUGUGCAAUCGCUGUAAUAUUUUAUUUUUAAAAGGUCUUAAACAAGAAUAAAUUCGUUUGUUGUGAGCCCGCUGUGAGACCACUCGCUGAACGGAGCGGUGAAUUCUCUCUCGUCUUUCUCUCUGUUCUGUGACCAGAUAUACAUUUUUAAUAAGCCCUGACCCCUGUAAUACUCAAAUAUGUUGGUUUAGCUUGUCAGAGUGAAAUAAAUUCAUGUAUUUAUAUGUAUUUUUAACCGAUUUAAAAGUGAAACUAAGGCAGACUCCUCCCUCAGUCCCGGGAAUUGCUCCUGUAGAGGCGCAAUUUUUUUCUCAGAUAAUGGGAGUCUAUGGGAGAUUUCUGAUUUAUAAAAAUUAAUAAUAAAUAAACUGUAAGUCUGAUCAGUCUAAAAAGAUAUAGCAUAAAACUACACCCCGGGGCCCAGGUCUCUGCCGAGUUUGGGGCUUGUGGCUUUAAAGCCCUAGGAGGAGUAGCGUUUGGAAUUUUAGGAUCAGAAGAAUAAUAAUAAUAAAAACUAGAAUGUAAAGUUAGUGAACUAACUUUGAUGUUGGCUUGGCCUUGGGGCAAAAGAGCCACAUUACUUGUGUGUCCAACUUUCUUGAGCUGCCUUGCUGCAAAAACAAAAACCUACAGCAGUAUUUUUCUGUAGACCCUUGCUGUUGUCUGUUCUAAUAAAAAGCCUAGGCUAUGACAACAGCUUAUGAGUCCUUAUGUGAGUACUAUUAUAUUGACAAUAUGAAAAUACAUAACUAAUAUAGUUUCCUUUCUUCACUUUAUGUGUGAUAACUUGAGAAAUAUGUUGUCAAUACUAUUAAAAUAAGAAAAAAGUAAUGGUACUUAGGAGAUUACAGUUUUUGCAUAAAUACUAUAUUGGGCUUUAUUAAAGUUGAUGAAAAUAGAAUGCAUGUAUAUGCAUUUUAUAUUUAUGCACAUAAAUGAAACAAUUUAAAAUCUUUGAACAGAUAUUGAAGUAUUUGCUAUCCUGUGGCGCCAUCGUGUGGAUAACAUUAGCAUUGUGGCCUUCAUUUCUGAACAACAUUAUGAAAGGGGCCAAUAUUUUUUGAAUGAUUACAAAUGUUUAAUGAUUAGUUCACUGAUAAUAUACCCACAUUAAAAUCGAAUUUACUGAUUCUGUAUCUUAUUUCAUGCUUUAAGAGUUUAUUUUUCAACUUACAUUUUUAAGCAGUGAUGAAUGAUAACUAUGUGAGUUGAUAAAUUAUUUUUUGCAAUUAUAAGACAUAAACUAUAUAAUGAUGACAAAAUUACAACAGUUAUUUUUUUCAUAAUAUUUACUAUUGACAAUACAAUAUAUAGACAUACAAAAAAAGCAGCCAAGACGAAUGAUUUUCUGUUUUUUAUAGAUUAAAAUUGAAAACAGAAAGCAGCUGGUAAAUGCAGUCACUUUAUUAUUCAAAUCCAGUAUCAUGAUCCAUUUCCGAUUUAUUUUUCUACAGUUUAUGUUCACGUGGCUGUUUUCGUUUAUAUUCGCCAAGCUUUUAUGUAUUUUGAAAUAAUCCUUUAUGUGAUUUGUCCCUUCUUGCACCGAAAAGCCAGAAUCAGCUUCUUCUGUAAUUCGAGAGAUCGAUGCAAGGUGUUAUUCUGCCCUAAGACAAAAAUAUCUCACAAGCACUCAUUUUAAUCUCUAUAAUAUAUUCUUCUAAUUGUUUUGUACUGAUUCGCUGGAGUGUUUUAAUGUAAAAGGCUGUAGUUUCUGUGUGUAGACUUUUUUCCCCUUCCAGUGAAAACGGCCGUCUCGCGCUGUCAAAUAGUCUUUAAUUUAGCUCACAAACACCUGAAUUUAGCUCUUGUUGUCUUCUAAUGGGUGGAUUGUGUGCAGUCGCUGUAAUAUUUUAUUUUUAAAAGCUCUUAAAAAACUAUAAAAAUGCUUUAACUGUGAGCACGAUCGGACUGAACUCUCUCAUCGGAGCGGUGAAUUUUCUCUCGUCUUUCUACUGAUCUCUGCCCAGACAUCAAUUAUUAAUGAGAUCUGACCCGAUAAUAAUAACAUAUGUUGUUUUAGCUUGUCAGUGUGAAUGAAAUGUGUAUUUAUUUGUCCGUUCUCUCGCCGAAAAGCCAGACAUCACCGUGUUCUGGAGCGCAGAGCAAUCGAUGUGAUGUUCAGCCCUUAGACAAAGAAAAUCUCACAAGCACUCAUAAACACUAAUUUUCAUCCGUAUAAUAUGUUCUUCUAAUUGUUUUGUGUUG